rnacentral:rRNA from 1 species
AUGACUUCGCUACUUGUCGACGUGUUUUUGUGUGUGUCGGUAUUGGCUGUAUGCAUCCUAACUAUGCAGAGGCCGAGUGUGUGCUCAUAG